rnacentral:lncRNA from 1 species
AAGGUUCAUUGGGAGGUUCAGAUGGUGGUUCUAUUUGAGGUUCAGAUAGUGAUUCUGUUUGAGGUUCAGAUGGUGAAGGCAUUAAGGGUUAUGGCAUAAGUGGGGGUUGGUUAGACAGUGUGAUGGCUUGGAGUUAAGCCAAUGUUGGAGAUGGAGGGUCAGUGGUUUCUGGUUGGUUAGAGUCAGAAGACACGUCAUAGUAAGGUGGUGAUGAUGAAGUUAAAGAGGG